GUGCUCACUUCAGCAGCAUGCAUACUAAAAUCAGAAUGAUACAGAGAAGACUAGCAUGGCCCCUGCGUAAGGAGGAUGCACAAAUUCGUGAAGCGUUCCAUAGUUGU